rnacentral:rRNA from 1 species
CGCUAGUAAUCGCGCAUCAGCCACGGCGCGGUGAAUACGUUCCCGGGUCUUGUACACACCGCCCGUCACACCAUGGGAGUCGGAAAUGCCCGAAGUCUGUGACCCAACCUGAGAGGGAGGGAGCAGCCAAGGCGGGUCUGAUGACUGGGGUGAAGUCGUAACAAGGUAGC